rnacentral:rRNA from 1 species
GGGAUAGAAUUCCAGGAGUAGCGGUGAAAUGCGUAGAUAUCUGGAGGAAUACCAAAGGCGAAGGCAGUCCCCUGGUCCGAUACUGACACUGAGGUACGAAAGCGUGGGGAGCAUACAGGAUUAGAUACCCUGGUAGUCCACGCCCUAAACGAUGUCGAUUAGCCAUUGGAAGGCCCUUUUCCUUUCAGUGACGUAGCUAACGCGUUAAAUCGACCGCCUGGGAAGUACGACCGCAAGGUUAAAACUCAAAGGAAUUGACGGGGACCUGAACAAGCGGUGAAUGAUGUGGAUUAAUUCGAUGCUACGCGAAGAACCUUACCUACCUUUGACAUGGCCAAAGUUCUACCGAGAGGCGGAAGUACUCGUAAGAGGAUUGGCGCACAGGUGCUGCAUGGUUGUCGUCAGCUCGUGUCGUGAGAUGUUGGGUUCAGCCCCGCAACGAACGCAACCCUUAUCUUUAAUUGCUCCUAUUUUAACAGGCACUUUAAAGAAACUGCCAAUGAUAAGUUGGAGGAAGGUGGGGAUCACGUCAAGUCCGCAUGGCCUUUAUAGGUAGGGCUUCACACGUCAUACAAUGGUUAGAACAAAGAGCUGCAAAUUCGUAAGAAGGAGCCAAUCUCACAAACCUAACCUCAGUUCGAAUUGCGGUCUGCAACUCGAGCGCAUGAAGCCGGAAUCGCUAGUAAUCGUGGAUCAGAAUGCCACGGUGAAUACGUUCUUAGGUCUU